CUCUGCUCCAAAACCGUAAACCAUUCUUUCUUCCUUCUCCAAAACCGCGGCACCAUAUUUUCUACUUCAUUUCUAAAUCACAAACCACUACCGCAACUCCAUAUCCUCUGCAACCAUUCAUCUCAGACCACACUUCAUCCUUCACCUCGUAAACAUCGACCGGAAGUGAAUGUGAGAGCUUCCAUUUCCUUUCGGACCAGAGGCUGGAACCAGAAAGGAAUCGCGAGCUGCAAUCUUUCCUGUUUCUGUCCGUGAGCUCGAGGGAAGAGAGGGAGAGGCCGUGCGUGAGUUUCCUCUGCAUUUUCUAAACCUCACCCAGCUGCUAAUCAUCACCAUUUCCAUCAAUUCCAGCCGCAACUACUGCAACCUCUGCAACCAAGAACAUCACAUCCAGUCACGUGUGAAUCAAGAGGGGAGAAACUUCAGCUUUCUGCCGUGCGUAUAACCUUCAUUGUUAGGCGCACGCGAGGACCUUUAAGAGGAUCCGACAGAGGACACUUGAACUUCAAAUUGAACCUAUUGCCCUUGUUUGACUAGGUUCUGACAACUGAGGAAGACUUGAGAUCUACUUGUACUUUAAGCAUGUAGUUUGAAUUAAACAAUGU